rnacentral:rRNA from 1 species
AUUGAACGCUGGCGGCAGGCCUAACACAUGCAAGUCGAGCGGAUGAAGGGAGCUUGCUCCUGGAUUCAGCGGCGGACGGGUGAGUAAUGCCUAGGAAUCUGCCUGGUAGUGGGGGAUAACGUCCGGAAACGGGCGCUAAUACCGCAUACGUCCUGAGGGAGAAAGUGGGGGAUCUUCGGACCUCACGCUAUCAGAUGAGCCUAGGUCGGAUUAGCUAGUUGGUGGGGUAAAGGCCUACCAAGGCGACGAUCCGUAACUGGUCUGAGAGGAUGAUCAGUCACACUGGAACUGAGACACGGUCCAGACUCCUACGGGAGGCAGCAGUAGGGAAUAUUGGGCAAUGGGCGAAAGCCUGAUCCAGCCAUGCCGCGUGUGUGAAGAAGGUCUUCGGAUUGUAAAGCACUUUAAGUUGGGAGGAAGAGCAGUAAGUUAAUACCUUGCUGUUUUGACGUUACCAACAGAGUAAGCACCGGCUAACUUCGUG